AUCCAGAUGACGAGCUCAUAUAGGACGAAAUGCACAUCCUGGAU
rnacentral:hammerhead_ribozyme from 1 species